rfam:Capsicum annuum cultivar Zunla-1 chromosome 2, whole genome shotgun sequence
AAGAUAGAAAAUAAUGCAUUGGAUGGAUGAUCAGACAUUGAGAAGGAAGGACGCUUUUAGAGACAAAUAGCCAUUUUUAGAUACCAUCUGUGAUCUGUGGAUCUCCGAUCGAGAAACCAUAUCCAAGAUCCGUGGCUAGUUUGCCCUCUUUGGACUUUUCAAACUUAUUGAACUAAAACAUCUUAGUAUCUAAAGAAAGGAAAAUCAACUGAGACCCCAUUAGUAUCAGUAAGCGAGAGCGGAUUGGGGGUUUGGUGAAUAACAAACAAGAAUCUUCAUUCCUCUUCUUUUAGGGUAGCUACUUCAUUCCUCAGCAAAGUGUUAACUUCUUUUUUACUAGGUUUUAUUUGAUUUGUUGUGGAUUGGAUGAUGGAAAAACCAACAAGCCACAGCUUCAAAGCUUACCUUAUUUAGAAAUUGAGAAAGACAUUUUUAUAAAUGUUGUGGUUGAAAAAAUGGGGCAUAGCUUAAAGAGAAAAGUUAUCUACGCUAUCCAAUCAAUGUUUUUUAGUAGCAAGCUAUGGUCUAACGACCCCCUAACCUCGAUUGGGGCAAAAAAUCCAAAAUCAAAAAUAAAAAAUAUUAGUUAGAGUUCUUCUUCUUUUUGUCGAGCUACUUCAUUCCAAACCUUUGUUUAAUGAUAAGGUAAGCUUUCAAGAUGUUGCCCUUUAAAGGAGUAGGCACAGUGAACUAUAAUUAUGAAAAUAUUAGAAGAUCUAGACAAAGAAGGUGAUAACCUAUAGAAUUAUUCCCAUGGUUUGAUCCUUCACAGUAAAACGUGGUGUGUUUGAAUUUUGAUCACUUUUAUGCGAGAAAGGGGGACCACCCUCUAAGCCCAAGUAUUCCUUAAUGAUCUAUAACAUACAAGUACCAUAAGGGAAGGUGAAAAGAACCCUAUUUAGGGAGUAGAAUAGAGAACUUGAGAUCUGAUGUGAACAAUCAGUCAAAAGAGCAAAGCUUAAAGCCUUUACUUUAUGUAAAGUGCACUCACUAUAAUGGCGUACCUUUUUCAUGAUGGGUCAAUAAGGAAAUAGGAAUAACAGCUUAAGCCAUUAGGUGUAGGCUCUUUCCAGAAAUGGAAUCUUCUAGUUCUUCCUAUUUUACCAAAAACCAAUCGAUCUAUCCAAUAGCAGGUUUAAGAGUGCUCUAACAGGCCUUGGAGAACUGAACCCGUGUAUGUGGAAAAAUACAAGGAUGACUUGUGGCAAGGGGUGAAAGUCCAACUAAGAUCAAAUAUAGCUAGUUUUUUGAAAAAUCUUUUUUAGUAGAGCAUAUGAUGUCAAUGGCUCGAGGCAGAGCACUCAAUUGGAUAGGGUGGCAUCAUAUUGCCUUACCAACCUUAGGAAAACUCUGAAUACAGACCUAGAUCAUUUUUAUAGAUAGACUUUUUGGGUGCUAAGAUAUAAAGUUGAGGGGGAAACAUCCCAGAUCGUACACUAAAGUCCCUAAUCAAUUACUAGUGGAAAAGAAAGUGAUCGAGCGAUGACAAUCUGGAGGUGAUCUUGGAAGCAGCCAUCCUUUGAAGAAAGCGUAAUAUCUCAUUGUUCUAGUUCCAUUGCACCAAAAAUAUAUCAGGGCUCAAGUGAUUCACCAAAGUGACAAGACCUUGAAAGCUUCUUUUCAAGUGUAAAUAGGAAAUGUUCUAUCAAUCAAGGAAGGUUUUGGAUGAAAGACCUGGAGAUAUCAGAAUUGAGAAUGAUAACAUGCAUAAAAAAUCAUGUGACAAACACAAUCGCCUUCUAGUGGAAUGUUUUCUAUGUUUAGUUAAUAUAUUGAGAGUGAAUCGGUCCCUAAGAAACUCCCAAAAGGGCCUAGUACGAUGGGUACAUGAAAGUGAUGAAGUUUCUUUGACAACAAAACCAUGCCUUUUUGUUAUAUCGAAUUAGAUUAUCAGGCUGAGGGAUUCCCCCUCUCCCCCUCACUCUCAUUUCCCUAAUAUGAACUUUAAGUCAUCAAAGCCUUUCUGACUCGGCCUGGACCUGUCGCCCUAUACGACUGGCACAUCAAAAGGCAAAACGUUCAGUCAUAGUUUGGUGACCUAUCAUCUGUAGUGGCUUUUAGUCUUUUGAUUAUGGUAGGGGUCGCGAGAGAUUAGAGUAUACCGUGAUACUAUAGUGACAAUACUAUUUAUAGUUGUGACUAGUAUCAUACUCAAUAAGGUUAAAACUUCUGAUGGGGAGGGCGACCCUCCUAGUGAACUAACCGUACCCCAAACUGACACGGGUAAACAAGUAGAGUAUACUAGGGCACUUGAGAUAACCAUUAAAGAAACUUGGAAACAUGACCCUAUAACUUUGGAAGAAGGGGUGCUCUCCUAUCUUUUGAUUAGGAAAGCGGAACAUACUAGGGGUAGCAACUAUUUAUUAAAAAUAGAAGACUCUGCUAAGUGGUAACACGAUGUAUAGAGUUUGACACCUGGGUGGUACUAAAUUGUUUGAAGGAGAAGUGUUAUAAACUUUGAAUAGAACCCUCAGUAAAUAGCGACAAUAAGUCUAACUAUCUUAAGGUAGCAAAAUUCCUUGUCUCGUAAGUAGCGACCUGUACUAAUAGUGUAAAAACUGCCCUACUAUCUCUAACCUGGAACCCAUGAAAUUAAAUUCUCUGUGAAGAAGUUGAGUACCAAUGGCUAGACAAUAAGACCCCAUGCACCUUGACUAUAGCUUUGAAAUGACAACCUUAAUCCGACGUGUAAGAUAGGUCAGAGGUUGUGACACACGACGACUAUUCUUGAAAGACCACUAUUUUAUCUUAGGAUUCCUAAUCACUUCAUUUAUUAUUCUGGGAGAGGUGAGACACUGCAAGGUGGGUAGUUUAUUUAGAGAGAAUACCUCCUAAAGAGUAAUAGAGGUGUACAAUGGUAGGAUUAAUAUAAGAUUCUGCUCGUGAGAAUAAUUGGAUAAGCCUUCCUGACUGUGAGAUCGACUAGUCAAAAAAAGAUGAAAGUCAGCCAUAGUGAUUCGAGAAGAAUGGCUCUCGCUCAACAAAUAAAAAUUUUGUUGGAUAUAACAGGCUGAUAACUCCCAGGAGCUCUUAUUGACCGAGUCGUUUGGUACUUUGAUGUAGAAUCAUCAUAUCCUAGGGUUGAAAAAUGUCAUAAGGGUUUGGUUCUUCACCAAUUCAAGUGGUACUUGAGUUGGGGUUAGAACGUCAUGAGACAGUUUGGUUCCUAUCUACUAUUGGUGUUAACUGGAUAACUGCGAGGAGCCAAUCCUAGUAUGAGAGAACUAGGUUGGUCAAACCUAUGGUGUACCAGUUUUCAUGCUAAUAACAGUGUCAGGAAACUAUGUUGGAAUGAAAGAACUAUAGUACUAUGGGAAAACCAUGUCUAUACAAGUUCUCAAAUAAGGUUUUUGAAUAGAACUUUGAUAUGCGAGAGGUGUAAUCAUCACAAGGUUGAUCGUUUUAAGCAACAUUUGGUUAUUUUUG